GAAAAUGGAAGAAAACACUGAUAAACGCUAGAAUUGCAAAGCGGAAGUGGUCCGCGAGUGAAUUUUGCGUAAUGAGUGACAGGAGAACGAACUAAAGAGAAAGAGAAAUGGCGCCUCAAUGCCAUUCUUACUGAGGCAGAGUACAGACGGAUAGACAGAUUAAACAAGUGAAAAUAAACGGACAAAUCAUGGUGAACACAAGAAAGAACUCUCGGCAUAAGCCGAGCAGUCCCUUCAUCUCGUCCAGGACCCGGUCUUCUGCCAGAAAUCCCUCCAACUCUGAAGAACAUUGCCAUGAUGUCCUUGAGGAGCAGAUUCAAUGCGUGAGCAGCACAGCCAAUGGGAAUGAUGUGAGGAAGGAUCCCAGUAGUGAUGUGAGCAGUCCUGGACUGUCCCCUCCAUCGAAGCGAACCCGUAGACAAACCAGCUCCAGCGACACCUCUCCCUCCCCCCAGGCCAAGGGCCAGAGGGUCUCCUGGGGCAUGCCCACCUACCGCACCAGGUUGUCAUCUGGCGCCCUGCAAAAUGGAAAAGCCCAUAAGGAGGAGGGGGCAGGAGACCACUCUCACAUGAAUGGCCAUGUUGACCGGAAGAGGAGCUGCCAAGUGAGGAAGAGCCAGUUUGAACACCUCAACCAGAGCCUGCUGUUUGACCAGCUCGUCAACAGCACGGCGGAGGCAGUUCUUCAGGAGAUGGACAACAUCAGCAGCAUCAGACAGAACAGGGAGGUGGAGAGACUCCGCAUGUGGACAGACACUGAGGUGGAAAACAUGGACAUGUACUCUUGUGUGAAGAGGAGGAAGGCACUGCGCAGGAACACCUUUGGCAUGCAGACACACCACAAAGCCAUGAGCAAGACAGAAUCGGAAGAGGGGACUGAAGAAUCUCAUGGUGAGGAAGAGGAUGACGAAGCAGAGGAGGAUGAGGAUGAUGAUGAAAGAAACGAGACCGAGGAGGCUGGAGAGGGGAACGACAGACCGUACAACUUGAGACAACGCAAGACCGUACAGAGAUACGAGGCGCCACCUAUUGAGCCCGUCAACAGAAAACAAAACAACCCCUCCCUGUUUGACACCCACAGGUCCCCAGCAAGGAGAAGCCAUAUACGAGUGAAGAAGCAUGCCAUCCACAGUAGCGACACUACGUCGUCAUCUGACGAGGAGAGAUUUGAGAGGAGGAAAAGCAAAAGCAUGACCCGGGCCAGGAACAGGUGUCUGCCUUUGAGCCUGAGAGCAGAGGACCUGGCCAGUGGGGUGCUGAGAGACAGGGCCAAGGUGGGAGCUAGCCUCGCUGAUGUGGACCCCAUGAAUCUGGACACCUCAGUGAAGUUUGACAGCGUAGGAGGGCUCUCCAACCACAUCCAGUCUCUGAAGGAGAUGGUGGUCUUCCCUCUACUUUACCCAGAGGUCUUCGAAAGGUUCAAGAUACAGCCCCCAAGAGGGUGUCUGUUCUACGGCCCACCAGGUACAGGGAAGACCCUUGUAGCGCGGGCUUUGGCCAACGAGUGUAGUCAAGGAGACAAAAAGGUGUCUUUCUUCAUGAGGAAGGGAGCCGACUGCCUCAGCAAGUGGGUCGGUGAAUCAGAACGACAGCUACGCCUACUUUUUGACCAGGCGUACCUGAUGAGGCCCUCCAUAAUCUUCUUUGAUGAAAUAGACGGUCUGGCCCCAGUGCGCUCCAGCAGACAGGACCAGAUACACAGCUCCAUAGUGUCCACUCUGCUGGCGUUGAUGGAUGGUCUGGACAGCCGAGGGGAAAUCGUGGUGAUCGGUGCUACCAAUAGGCUGGACUCCAUAGACCCUGCUCUACGGAGACCUGGACGCUUUGACAGGGAGUUCCUCUUCAACCUGCCUGACAGGACGGCCCGAAGACAAAUCCUUGAGAUCCACACGCGGGACUGGAAUCCUAGACUGGCUGAACAGUUUGUAAAUGAGCUGGCUGAGAAAUGUGUCGGUUACUGUGGCGCAGACAUCAAAGCACUUUGCACAGAGGCGGCCUUGGUGGCACUGCGGCGUUGCUACCCCCAGAUCUACGGCAGCAGUGUUAAGCUGCAGCUGGACGUCAGUACCAUCGUGCUGGGGCCUGGGGACUUCAGCCAUGCUCUGCGGACCAUCGUCCCAGCUUCCCAGAGAGCCCAGGCUCCUCCAGGCCGAGCCCUGGCCCCCAACAUACGCCCCCUACUAGCCAACACACUGGCCACGGUGCUGGAGGUCCUGCUCCGAGUCUUCCCCCAUGCAGAAACACGGCACGGGGAGAGUAGAGGAGACGUUGACAAUCACCUGCUAGAGGAGGUCAGUGAAGAGGAGACUGAUGGAGCUGCUCCCUCCAUCUACAACCUCCAGCCGGGAUCCCCAAAGACACACGCACACACACCCGUCCUACACUUCACCAUAUCAGCCCUUCACCAGCCCACGUCGUACCGGCCUCGCCUGCUGCUGGCGGGUCCCCCCGGUUCGGGACAGAGUUCUCACCUGGCCCCUGCUGUGUUACACCACCUGGACAAGCUGUCUGUCCACCUCCUAGACUUGCCCACACUCUACUCUGUCAGCGCCAAGACACCCGAGGAGUCCUGCGCUCAGGUGUUCCGUGAGGCGUGUCGGAGCGUGCCCAGUGUGGUGUUCAUGCCCCACAUCUGUGAUUGGUGGGAUUCGGUCAGCGACACGGUGAAGAACACCUUCUUCUCUCUACUCCAGGACGUCCCCUCUUUCACCCCCCUCCUCCUCCUCGCCACCACAGAGACGUGCUACACACAGCUACCAGAGGAGGUGAAGUUGAUGUUCCAGACGACGUACGGGGAGGUGGUCAGUCUGUCUUCACCUGGAGAGGAGGACAGACGAAGGUUCUUCAUGGACCUGCUACUGGUACAGGCUGCUCGAGCGCCAUCCCACAGGAGACACAAAGCCCUGCUGUGUGAGGAGGUGCUUCCGGUAGCGGAGGUCCCUGGCCCCAGGGUUCUCUCCCACGAGGAACAGCUUCGCCUGGCCGACCAGGAGGAGAACACUCUGAGAGAACUGCGUCUGUUCCUCAGGGACGUCACCAAGCGCCUCGCCAUAGACAAACGCUUCAACAUCUUCAGCAAACCUGUUGACAUUGAGGAGGUGUCAGACUACCUGGAGGUAAUUAUUCAGCCUAUGGAUCUAUCUACAGUCAUGACCAAGAUCGACACCCAUAAAUACCCGACAGCCAAGAACUUCUUGGUGGACAUAGACCUCAUCUGCAGCAAUGCCCUGGAGUACAACCCUGACAAGGAGCCCUCAGAUAAGAUCAUCCGCCACAGAGCGUGCAGUCUGAAGGACACGGCGCACGCCAUGCUGGCCUCGGAGCUCGACCCAGAGUUCAACCGCAUGUGUGAGGAAAUCAAGGAGUCACGCAGGAAGAGGGACCUCCAGAUUCUGGAUGUGCCUCCUGUCUCCCUGGCUGCCGUGGUAACCACCAGGAAGCCGGCCGGAGAGGGGAACGCUGGGAGCAGCGUCGACAAGCACCACUGCAGCAGCAGCACUCACAUAAAAAGGAAAGCACGUCGGCGGCCAUCUUGGGGGCGGGGCAUCAUUAGGAAGAAGAAGAACUACAAGAAGGGAACGGAGGAAGAGGAGGAUGAAGGUGCGGAGCCUAAGCCGGAAACGGCAGUACCCAGCGACUCCUGUCUGACUCAGGACGAAGAGUCUUCCUGUGACACCAUGGACCCUCAGCCCAACGGACACCACACACACCCUCACACAUAUGGCAUCUCCACGGAGGAGGAGAGCUCCAAUGAGGCCCCUAGGGGCCAGAGAACAGAGACCCAAGGGGUGAGCAACACAGGGAUAGGGCCCAAGGAGGACGAGACACCAACUACAGAAGACCAAGCCAAAUCUACAUGUACAGACAAAGACCCCCAGUCUAAAAGUGAGUCUUAUUGUAAAAACAAGGAGCCCAAAGCUCAGGAGAUCCAGUAUAAAGGUGAGGGGUCAUCAUCUAAAGAUGAAGGUUCCCAAGCCGAAAGUGAGAACCCCCAAGCCAAGCCUAAGGAGGAAGGUUUCCAGCCCAUGGAUGUUGAGAAGGUCCAGCCUAAAGACGACGAGGUCCAGUCCAAGACUGAGCAGCAGUCGUCAGUCCCCACGCCGGCCACAGCACCCCCUGUCCCUCGGGAGUGUGUGAACGGGAAUGAGUCCAUGGACAGCCUGGAUUCCCAGGCCCUCAAGAGCUCUGAAACAGAGUGGCCUACAGCGGUCGAAGGUGAAGCGUCAGAGGGGGAAGUGUUGGCGUCUGCAGUAAGCAGAGGAACUCAGGAACGCCGUCUUCAGGACGGGAGGACAGGAGACGCGGAGACGGGCAAGGAGGAGCAGGACAGAGAAGGCUGCUCCAAGGGGAGGAAGUGCAGAAUGAGACAAUCAGAGCAGUCAAAGGCAUCAACUGAUGGGACAGAGGAGCCUCCACAGACCCCUCCACCACCUACACUAGUGGUCGAUCAACAUCGACUCACGGUAAGGGAUGGCCCUCUUGGACACAGUGGUACAGAGGAGUGAAGGCUACAGCGUGGAACGCUUGGAGAGACUCUUCUCUCUCCUCAGUCAGUGCAUCUACCAACACCGACUGGACUACGACAAGACACGGCUACAGGAGGAGAUGGAGAGGAAAGUCCAGAAUUUCAUUACAUUCCUGUGAGACAGCCAGGUUUACCCUGAACACACACACACACACAAGCGGGACAGAGACAAGCCUUUGAGCCAAGUACUUACACACAGAGCAAAUAUAGAGCCCUGGUCUUAACAUGAACGACAGAACGGGGAGACUUUUCUAUGGUGCUAUAGUCUCAGGUACCCUGGUCGGACCCAAAUCCAGUCAACAACCAAACAGACUCCUGGACACGCACACACGAACGGUGAAUCGGCCAUUCCUGGUGCUAUUCAGGUGCUAUCCUAAUCCUUGCUGCUGUUGGGAGUAACUCGGAAACUAACCAACAAAACAGAUUGGGUGAUGUCAUAUCUCAACGACGGCCUACUUUUAAACUGGGCACACACACGUAAACUACAUAUGUGCUUAGUUGUGCACACACAGUAAUCCCAUUCACAGAUUGUCACCAGCAGUGUGAGUAUGUGCAGUUAGCUUGGAGGUUGAGACAGUCUCCUGUCUUGUCACCAUUGCUGAGCCCAUGUCAUCUCUCAGUACGCUAGUGAAUCAAGAUUAUAGGCCAGUCAUCUCAUAGAUACAACAGCUUGGUUUGAAUAGCCUCUGGAUCUAAUCAAUUAUGAUUUGUUUUAUUUUAUAUGGAUCUUAUAACCACCGUUCUCGCUCCAAACAUUGUCCAAUGUUCAUUGAAAUGUUUUUAACAUGACCAUACUGUAGGGUAAAGUUGGCACUGCUGGGCUAGAAUCAAUUGCCAGCAUUACAAAAACAUCAAAUCCCCAUUAAUAAGGGUGUUACUGAAAUGCAUCAAUGGGAACUGAGGAAGCAUUUGUUCGAGUUUGCAGUGAACAUCAAAAUAACAUUAAUUGACAAGACUUUUAUCAGUCGUAGCAAACAGAUUGACGUGCUGCAUCACAGUUGUGUAAAAAAAAAAAAAUUCUACACAAGCUGUGCCCUUCCUGUCAAUCCGCACCUAACUGGAGUAACUCAAAUUAAAUUGGACACCUUUUGUAAUUUGCACUGCCUAGCAUGUGCUUUAUUUUACCCCCAAUUAACUUUCCUAAAGAACAGCUGUUAAGGUUAUCAACUGCUCUGUUCCAUGUAAUGCUGGAUGUAGAAGUUCCCCUUAACUAACCACGUAUCUAGGAUCAAAUGACCAAACUCUCAAGCCUAACUUUAACCUUGACAGUGGUGUAAUAAUAUCUGACCCAGGACCAGUGGAUAGAAGUCUACAGUAGGAAAGCAGAUCUACUGUCUUUUCCUGCCCACAUGAGUAAAAAUGUAUUUUAUGAUUACUUUCAUGUCAACGGAUGCCACAAAUUAGUCACAGCAAAAGUGGUGCCAAUUUUCCGUGACCGUUUUUAGUCGACAUUCAUGAAAAAAGAAAUCUUAACUCUAUAAAGAUUUAGAUAAGGAACUUAGUUGGCUAUGUAUUAUGUUGUGCAUUUGAUUCCUAAAAAAAAAAAAGAUUUUCUAUUGUAUGAUACAUUGGAAACUGUUUUGAAUUGUUUGUGAAGCUUCUGACCAUGAACAAGACCAUUCAAGGCAGUGCCCUGUUGAGGUAUAAAACAGCAUUCUAUCGUUUUAAUUAUUUUGUUGAUGCUUUUGAUUGUCUAGUGGGAGGGGUGUAAUUCGCUAUAGCCAGCCCAUCCAUGUUCACCUUGUGGUAAAGAUAUGCAUUUUUGUUUUUCAACUUUCUGGUCUUUCCUUGGCCAUGGAUGAAUCCAUGUUUUGACGAGAUGUGGCCAGCCUCAGUCUUUUACAUUCACAGUUAAAAGGUGGACUCCGAUAUGACAUGGUUGCAGAAAGUAACCCGCAACAAUUAAGUGUUAAAGCACAAGGCUCCUCUUCUCCACUGUUUUGGUGCUGUGAAGCAGAUACUGUGUGUGAGCGAAGUCUUGCGACUUACUCAUGUCAAUAUCUGUGGCAGUGGAAUUUGGCUGUCUACCUUUUAAUGCCAGGGUUCUUCAGGUCCUGGAGAACUACUAGGCAUGCAGGCUUUUGUUCCAACCAAAUCGUCAUGGUGUUCUUCAGGCUUGACUACGAUUGGGCAGUAACAGAAUCCUGUAUGCCUCGUACUUCUCCAGGAUUGGAGAGCCCUGCUUUAUGCUGAGCCUAACUCCACAUCUGCCUUCUCUUGGAGUGACAGGUGAAGAUUUAACAAUUAAAAUAAACAUAUGCAAACUAGCAUUGGAAUACUGCAGAGAUAGAGAAACAAAGCUACCUCAGCUUAAUUUAUUUUAAUGCUAAUAAGACAAACUGUUUACUGGGCGCAAACAGUAUUUUGCCAUGUUCUAAACUAUUGUCGCAACACUCAGUACAGCUAAGGUACUGGAUAAUCAGUCAGUUCUGUGGCUGCUUCGGUAACCCAACAGUUUGUUUGGUUGGUUCUCACCUUUUUCACUUUUUUUGUCUAUAUUGCAUUUGAGCCGAGACGAAACAUACAGCAUUUAAUUUCAAGGAAAUGUCAAACUGUAUAUUUCAGUUCUGUAGACCGAGACGUCUUAAGAUUGCUUUCCUUUCAGAUCGUACUACUACACAUAUUCGCUAGUCUUGUCCAUCAAGCCACAAUCUCCUUUUUUUUUUCAUUUGAGGGUAAUUGUUUUUGUAGACUUGAAUCUCUUUCUCGUGGUGAUUUAUUUGUAUUUUAUUUAUUAAUAAUUAGACAUGUUUUUACGUCUAUCCAUUAAACAAAUUGGCAAUAGUUGUUACUCGGUUAUGAGUUUAGUGCUGAAGUGAGGUAGCGGACUAGCAUGUAUUGGAGAAUAAAGAAGUUUACAGGUGUCUCAGGUUUCUUCAGGCUACACAUGACCUUUCAACUUUCCUAUAUAUUCCAUUGUGGUGUUUGUUUUUCUUUAGUUUUGUGGUUAUGGACUGUGGUAUACUGGAUGAGGCUAACAUUGACAAUGGAAUUUUUACAUCAAAACAAUAGUGUGUUGGUAGUGUAAAUCUUAUUCACGUUGCUGACACAAUUUGGCAAGCAUCUUAGAAAAUAACAUCUGUCAAAGUUUGUCAGCAAUUUUUGUCCCUUUUAAGAAUUGGGUUUCAAAAUGUGAUACAUUUUUUUUCAUCCUCUCCUUGUUCUUGUCUAUACAAACAACCAAUUUUUGUCUGGUAGUUAAAGAUGAUUUAGUCCAGUAUGCACACAAUUUUCCAUCACUACUUACUGAGUUUCUCGUGUGGGAUUUAUUUAGUAGAUUUUGUUUUCGUAGCAUCACCAUGUUUCAUGAUUUCUUGAGGUUAAAGUUUAUUGAACAUCCUCUUCCCCAUCAAAUGUUACUUUGGUGCAAGUUAUUUGAGAGAAACUUUUACUGUAUUUCUAAAAACUGCUGUGAUAUACUUGAAUAAAAGGUGCAAAUUGUA